rnacentral:lncRNA from 1 species
AUUGAGAAUUGAAUUAUGAGAGUAUUACUUUUUGUUAAUUUACAUGGUCUGUAGCAUAAUUAUGCAAAAGCAUAAUUCAAUGAAGUGCUGUGCUUGUGAAAGCGGCGGGCAUUUAUACUUUUAUGGGGUUGUUAAUCAUUCAGGAAAGAUAUGAUAUGAUGACUUCUCAGGAUUGUUGAUGAAUUUAGAGAGUGGGUAAACCUGAAGGGUCCGUUUUGCAAGUUUUGAGUUGCAUUUUUCAAGUCUUGUUAGUAAUAAAAAAUAAAAAAUUGAGAAUUUUAGUAAAUAAUUUGGAUAUGGAGUUAAAAGUUUUGAAGAAGAGAUGGACCAACAAUUUAAUUUGGUUGAGUCUCAUUGUUGGUCAUGGGAACCAAUUAGAGCAAGACCCCGUGGGUGGCUGCCUACCUUCCAGCUCAUGGUACGCACGAUUGCAUUUAAGAUAUGAAAUUUGUAGGCCUGUUCAGCUAUAUCACACUGAUGGGGAGAAGGCGCAUUGAAUUUAUUGAAAAAUGAGGUGUGAGUUGAAUCUUAAUUUAUUUCUGUGCCUAUCACAUUUGAGUUUAGUGGUGACCGGGGGACGGUAGAAAAUAAUAGUAAUAAGAAUGAAAUCUUGACUUUAUAAAUGAUAUGAAAGCUUUGGUUUUUCCUGUAAGUUGAUUAAUUGGGGGGGGUCGUCCACAUCCAUUAAAGUGGUCUUCUUCUUCCCUCGCGUGCAUCUGAAUCUGAUCUCACUUCCGUUCCACCAACCGUGCUACAAAUUAAUCAUCUUUUACUCCGCUUAAUUUACUAUACUACUACGCUUUGGAAGAUAAGAUUGAUUGAGAAAGAAGAAAUGCCAAAAAAAAUAGAAAAUAAACAAAUUGCCAAGCAAUGGAUAAAGCUAUAAAGGAGAGCAUUGCAUUCAAAAGUGAACCUCCCGAGAUCAUGAUAAAUAGGGAGCCAAGUACACGAACACGAACACGAACAUGAACAUUGUUUGUCGUCUCUCGUGGUGUGACGAUGUGGAGAAAAGCCGAAAGGUGAAAGUGAGAGUUAAAUUCGGAUGAAAGUGACAGUGAAAUUCGGAUGCACGUGCUUUGUGUGCGUACGUGGUCUGCUCGGACAGGGGCAGUUAGAAUUUUGUCAGUGCCCACUCCCCACUCCCCAUCUGGUUCCUUUUCUUUGCACCGACUUUUAUUUUUAUUUUUAUUGAGGAGAUAGAUAAAGAAUCAAAGAAGACGGACAAGAGGAGCCUCUUCUUCUUCUUUUUUUGAUUUCUCUUUGAUUAAAACGAUGAAACAAAAUAUUAAUAAAAUGUGAAAAAUGGACACAGAGGUGAAUUGAAUUCUACAGACACGUUAAUUGAUUGAGAUUUUACUUUUUCACUAAGUUUAGUUUAAAAUUGUGAAGUGAUGGAAUGUAAAUUCGUUUGUAGUGGGACUUGGCUUGUAAUUCUGCACCAGUUAUUAGUAUCACCGCCUGCACAACUCUCCAACCCAUACUCUCUAAGUACUUCAUACGCAAUUCUCUUUUUCUGCAUCACCACCGAGGCACCGACACAUUUCUCCAAUUGUUCACGACAAAUGAUAACCUGAAGCCUCCAAUCCAAGCAAUGUUAGGCUACAUCUUAUUCUUUCAUCAACACCAGCGCGUACCAUGACCAAACUUGGACACCAAUCAAAAUGUAGUUAUUACACCCGCUUCACAUCAAACCGUCAAACAGGUACAAACAAUUCCUGCAGCAAAAAAUUAUAACGCUUUCACACCAGAUGUCUAAUGUCUGCAUCCGUAGAACCGGCGGCUGCUGGAAGAUGAUCCAUUGCCGUUCGUUGCAUUUGCCUUCCGAAAUAAUUAAUUAAGGCAAUCUUGUACGCUUACGCAUAAUCGCUUACCGCAUGUGCACGAGCUCAGGCUGCUGCUGUUGAUGUGUUAAAAGCUGUAUUUCGGCAAUUAAGGGUGUGUUCGGAGUGAGGUGUGGUAGUUUUUAAGCUGCAGAUACUGUAAAAUAAAAGAUACUGUCGUAGAAUAAAAGUUGAAAAAAAUUUUUUUGUUAAGCUGCAAAAGUCCAGUUACAAGAAUUACUAAACACCUUAGUAGCUAGACUUUGACAAUUCAACUAUCUCACCACACUCCCAAACAGACCGUAAGUUAUCAAACUAAAAACACUUAUAAUCAUGGGCGGACCCAAUUAAGGCCUAGGAGGGGCUUCAGCCCCCCCUGGGCCAUUAAGUUUUCUUUUAAAUGUACCCCAAGUUCCUUAUGAAAACGUUAUAUAAAAAAAUUUGGACACAUUUUUCAUACAUUAAAAGACUUGUAGUUCAAUUGAAAGAGUGUUAUUUAAUGGUUUCAAAAUC